rnacentral:rRNA from 1 species
CCUACGGGCGGCUGCAGUCGAGAAUUUUUCUCAAUGGGGGAAACCCUGAAGGAGCGACGCCGCGUGGGGGAUGAAUGGCUUCGGCCCGUAAACCCCUGUCAUUUGCGAUCAAACCUUACGACCUAACACGUCGUAAGCUGAUAGUAGCGGAAGAGGAAGGGACGGCUAACUCUGUGCCAGCAGCCGCGGUAAUACAGAGGUCCCAAGCGUUGUUCGGAUUCACUGGGCGUAAAGGGUGCGUAGGCGGUCGGGUAAGUCUGACGUGAAAUCUGCAAGCUCAACUUGGAAACUGCGUCGGAUACUAUUCGGCUAGAGGAAUGGAGGGGAGACUGGAAUACUUGGUGUAGCAGUGAAAUGCGUAGAUAUCAAGUGGAACACCAGUGGCGAAGGCGAGUCUCUGGACAUUUCCUGACGCUGAGGCACGAAAGCCAGGGGAGCAAACGGGAUUAGAUACCCGGGUAGUCC